rnacentral:misc_RNA from 1 species
CCCUUUCGACACGUCGAGGGGCAUUGGGGCGGAUGUUGGCCUCCCGUGUGCUGUGGGGCAUGCGGCUGGCCCAAAAGCUUAGUUCUCGGCAAAGGUUGCCACGACAAUCGGUGGUUGUAAGACCCUCUGACACAGUCGUGCACGAUCAUAUGCCUUGUGGGGACCCUGAGACCCUGAUGCAGCCUUGAAGGCUUGCUCAAAUC